rnacentral:rRNA from 1 species
AGUGAACGCUGGCGGUAGGCCUAACACAUGCAAGUCGAACGGCAGCACAGUAAGAGCUUGCUCUUACGGGUGGCGAGUGGCGGACGGGUGAGGAAUACAUCUGAAUCUACUUUUUCGUGGGGGAUAACGUAGGGAAACUUACGCUAAUACAGCAUACGACCUACGGGUGAAAGCAGGGGAUCUUCGGACCUUGCGCGAUUGAAUGAGCCGAUGUCGGAUUAGCUAGUUGGCGGGGUAAAGGCCCACCAAGGCGACGAUCCGUAGCUGGUCUGAGAGGAUGAUCAGCCACACUGGAACUGAGACACGGUCCAGACUCCUACGGGGGGCAGCAGUGGGGAAUAUUGGACAAUGGGCGCAAGCCUGAUCCAGCCAUACCGCGUGGGUGAAGAAGGCCUUCGGGUUGUAAAGCCCUUUUGUUGGGAAAGAAAAGCAGCAGGUUAAUACCCCGCUGUUCUGACGGUACCCAAAGAAUAAGCACCGGCUAACUUCGUG